UACGUAGGGCGCGAGCGUUGUCCGGAAUUAUUGGGCGUAAAGAGCUCGUAGGCGGCCGGUUGCGUCUGCUGUGAAAUCCCGGGGCUUAACCCCGGGCGUGCAGUGGAUACGGGCCGGCUGGAGGCAGGCAGGGGAGAAUGGAAUUCCCGGUGUAGCGGUGAAAUGCGCAGAUAUCGGGAGGAACACCGGUGGCGAAGGCGGUAGUCUGGGCCGGUACUGACGCUGAGGAGCGAAAGCGUGGGGAGCGAACAGG
rnacentral:rRNA from 1 species